rnacentral:rRNA from 1 species
GUCGCAGGUUAAAGCCCGGGGCUCAACCCCGGAAAGGCCUGCGAUACUGCCCUGCUUGAGGGCCGGAGAGGCUGGCGGAAUUCCCGGUGUAGGGGUGAAAUCCGUAGAUAUCGGGAGGAACACCGGUGGGGAAGCCGGCCAGCUGGACGGUCCCUGACGCUGAGGCACGAAAGCGUGGGGAGCAAACCGGAUUAGAUACCCGGGUAGUCCACGCCGUAAACGAUGGGUGCUAGGUCUGGGGAGGAAACUCUCUGGGCCGAAGCUAACGCGUUAAGCACCCCGCCUGGGGAGUACGGCCGCAAGGCUGAAACUCAA